AGAACUAUACUCUUGAAACUUGGUAAGUAGAUGUAUUCUGUAAACCGCAUUAAGAUUUUUACACAAAAAUAGAUUUAAAAUAAAAUAUGGGGGUUCCCCAUACUUAGAACUGAAACUCAUUUUUUUUUUCAUCAAACCCAUACGUGUGGGGUGUCUAUGGAUAGGUCUUCAAAAAUGAUAUUGAAGUUUUUAAUAUCAUUUUUUUCUAAACUGAAUAGUUUGCGCGAGAGACACUUCCAAAGUGGUAAAAUGUGUUCCCCCCCUCCUAUAACUUCUAAAAUAAGAGAAUGAUAAAACUAAAAAAAUAUAUGAUGUACAUUACCAUGCAAACUUCCACAGAAAAUUGGUUUGAACGAGAUCUAGUAAGUAAUUUAUUUUUAAUACGUCAUAAAUCAACUGAAACUCAACAUUUUUUUCAUCAAACCCAUACGUGUGGGGUAUCUAUGGAUAGGUCUUCAAAAAUGAUAUUGAGGUCUUUAAUAUCAUUUUUUUCUAAACUGAAUAGUUUGCGCAAGAGACACUUCCAAAGUGGUAAAAUGUGUGCCCUGUAACUUCUAAAAUAAGAGAAUGAUAAAACUAAAAAAAAUAAUAUGAUGUACAUUACCAUGCAAACUUCCACCGAAAAUUGGUUUGAACGAGAUCUAGUACGUAGUUUUUUUAAUAAACAUUAAAUAACUGAAACUCAAUUUUUUUUUUCAUCAGACCCAUACAUGUGGGUUGUCUAUAUAUAGGUCUUCAAAACUGAUAUUGAGGUUUCUAAUAUCAUUUUCUUCUAAACUGAAUAGUUUGCGCGAGAGACACUUCCAAAGU